rnacentral:rRNA from 1 species
UACGUAGGGUGCGAGCGUUGUCCGGAAUUAUUGGGCGUAAAGAGCUUGUAGGCGGUUUGUCGCGUCUGCUGUGAAAUCUCAAGGCUCAACUUUGAGCUUGCAGUGGGUACGGGCAGACUAGAGUGCGGUAGGGGAGACUGGAAUUCCUGGUGUAGCGGUGAAAUGCGCAGAUAUCAGGAGGAACACCGGAGGCGAAAGCGAGUGACUGGCGCGUUCCUGACGCUGAGGUGCGAAAGCUAGGGGAGCAAACAGG